AGCCGUGGUCCGGGAGCAGGGGGAGCUGCGAGCAGCUAUGGUACCUCCCGACAGCUGAGGUGGAGAUAGGCGGUGGCAGCCGGCGGCUCGCAGCUUGACCUCGAUUUGUUUUUGGGACUGCAGGCUGGACCGGCACGUCCGGUGAGCUGGGAGAGAUAAAAACCGGGAGGAUAUUUGGGCAGCAGCAGCAGCAGCAGCAACAGGAGGGGAAUCCCCCUCCCUCCGCCGCCUCCUUGCCCGGCAUGCCGGCACUGCCCCGCUGAGACGUGCAAAGAGUUUUGGGGUUAAUUUGCGCCUGGCCGUCCCUGGAAUAGAGACUCUCCGGAUAUCGGAUCGGUUGGGGUUUGUAGUCUAUGUCGUGUUGGGAAAUCUGGUGGAGUUUUUUCUCGCUCGAGGAGGAAGAGCCCGGUGUUGGCAGUUGGCUUCGUGGUCUUUUUUGGAGGGCGAAGGAAGGGAAGGGAUCUCACUUGAGCCGUGCGGAGAGAGAGCUCGGACAUGUGUUGUCAGCACAUCUGGGGAAUACAGUCUGCAAGUCCGAAAGGAAAUUUGCUGGGAUCGUUCAAACUGCGAUAUUGAUCUUUGUUAUUUUUUUUCGCCGAGGGAUGCACUUGGCAUGAGAAUCGGAGGAUGGAAAUUGUUUGGGAGGUGCUUUUUCUUCUGCAAGCGAAUUUCAUCGUCUGCAUUUCAGCUCAACAAAAUUCACCAAAAAUCCAUGAAGGCUGGUGGGCUUAUAAGGAGGUGGUCCAGGGAAGCUUUGUUCCUGUACCCUCCUUUUGGGGUUUGGUGAACUCAGCUUGGAAUCUUUGCUCAGUCGGGAAAAGACAGUCACCUGUCAAUAUUGAAACCAGCCAUAUGAUUUUUGAUCCC